UUAACAUCAUGAAAAAUAGUUAUUUGAGAAUAGAAGCAAUUCUGCUGUAUUUAAUAGUAAUUUAAAGAUUAUUCUUAUAGUUCUUUGGAUAGAUCUUUAAAGAAAGCUAUAUGCAAGCCUGGUAGGCGUUUGUUUCCAUUGCUUCUCACUCAGGUCUUCCCUGAGGCCAGAUGCUUGUUUUUCCGAAGAAGAACAUUUUAUAUAAUACUUUAACAACUUUCACACUAAUCUCUGCAGGUUUAUGCUGCUUUAAAGAACAAAUGGGAUAAUGAUAAAAGUAAUAGGCUUUUGCUGCACUGAAUAAACCAUGGGGAAUGAACUGUUGCUUCUGGUAGCGAUGUCCCCAAUAGGGAGCUCUGAACCUCACUGGGAGCUGUGGCAGAGAGCUUCCUGGCUGCAUUCCCAUGAAGAGAGGGGUGUUUUUAUGGUGGUGAGUUGUCUGUUUUCCUAAUAAAAGGAAGCCUUAUCUUCUGGCUUUGCAUUUCCUUACAUAUUCCCACAUGAGUUUUUUUCUCAGGCUUUAAACUAAUGAGCUUCUCUUUACCACAGAUCUCUGACAUCUACUGCUAGUGCUCCCUGGAGAACAUGGUCUCAAAAGUGAACUGUGUUUCUGGGUGUGUACGGACUUCAGUCCAUACAACCAUUCCCACAGCUUCAGAUGAGCAGCCUAAAAUAAGUUCAGUGGGACUUCUUGGUGUGUGCGACUGCGGGACCAGGAUUUGGUGCCCUAAAGUUGGAAGGGACCUCAAAGAUGAUCUAGUUCCACGCCUUGCCAGCUGAUACAAAGGCAGAGUGCCAGAAGACUAUAACCAGAAGUGGAUUGCUGGAUGAUGUUUAUUAUCAUGUGUUACUUUACCACGUCUCCACUUAUCCACAUUCUCAGCACGUCCGCAAUCUGUGCCGCUUUUCCUUCCUUUUGGAGCUGAAGAAUGCCUGGGAAAAGUUUACUUGGACUUGCAUUGUUCCCUCCCUCUUUUUUUCUGCUGAGACUGCAGUUGUUCAGGGAUGUUCAUGGUAAGCUUUACUUCUAAGCAACUUCUACAGUGGCCAUGGUCACCAAUGGAUUGACACCUACUCGAGCAUCACCUUGGGAGGAUUGUGUUGGAGCAACCUGGGCUCUUUGGUAAUACAGGACAUUGGCAGCUGUAGCAGAAAACAGGGUUCUCUUAACAAAUGACAGGAACAGGGGGAUAAUGCCAGUGUGAAAUCAGUAACCACAUAUAAACUUCUCAUGGAGAUCAGCUGGGACCUCAUGGCAGAAACCUCAUUUAAAACAACCGCUAAUGACUUCACCUUGGGCCAAGUCACAGCACAGCAGCCACCUCCUCCUCCUCCUCCAGCCCUGCUGGGAG